GCUAAUACCGGAUACUUAGGCUGGAAGGCAUCUUCUGGUCUGGAAAGCUCCGACGGUCAAGGAUGAGCUCGCGGCCUAUCAGCUAGUUGGUGAGGUAACGGCUCACCAAGGCUAUGACGGGUAGCCGGCCUGAGAGGGCGACCGGCCACAUUGGGACUGAGAUACGGCCCAGACUCCUACGGGAGGCAGCAGUGGGGAAUAUUGCACAAUGGGCGCAAGCCUGAUGCAGCAACGCCGCGUGCGGGAUGACGGCCUUCGGGUUGUAAACCGCUUUCAGCAGGGACGAAGCGAAAGUGACGGUACCUGCAGAAGAAGCACCGGCUAACUACGUGCCAGCAGCCGCGGUGAUACGUAGGGUGCGAGCGUUGUCCGGAAUUAUUGGGCGUAAAGAGCUUGUAGGCGGUUUGUCACGUCGGAAGUGAAAACUCAGGGCUUAACCCUGAGCCUGCUUUCGAUACGGGCUAACUAGAGGAAGGUAGGGGAGAAUGGAAUUCUUGGUGGAGCGGUGGAAUGCGCAGAUAU
rnacentral:rRNA from 1 species